GUUGCAGGACACUGUAUUAAAAAAAAAAAAAAAGGAUUCUAGGUGCCAAAAUAACUGGGAGUGCCAGCAGCUGUUCUGGGACCUCUACGUUAGCAUGCCUGCAUGUGGAGAGCCCAUUUUCCUCAUGGCUACAUCUGGAGGAGGGAGUGCUGCACAGCAUUUUCAUGGUUCCUUGGGGAAAGACAAGCUAGAAAAGAGAUUGCUAUAAAAAAAAUUGCAAAGGAGGAUGUCCACGUGAUACUCUCACUGGGGAGAGAGAGAGACAACACCAGGAGCCACAAAGAGCUAUAUCGCAGGAAACACGGCUUAUUUUGGGGAUUAGCCAAAGGUGACUUCAUGCAAAAUGCCCUUCACAGCAGAGAAAAUCUGUUACUUCUGGGAAGUCAAAGGUGAGUGCAUUAAACUUGGUUUUCAUUCCAUGAUUUUGAUUAAUAAUGUUUCUUAAAGUAUGCGAUGUUUCUGUCGGGCUGUUACUCCUGAUGGCAUUGCCCUGAAGUUUCUUAACUUAUUGCAACUUGUCGCACUGUUUUUUAAAGUUUAGCGUGUCUUUUUAACUUCAUGAAGAACUAGAGUCAAAACAACUAAGAAUAAUCAACCAAAAAAAAAAAAGUGUGAAGAUACUUUUUUACAGCAUGAAGUGGAAACUAAUAUAAGUUUUCCGAUGCUCUUCUGUAGUGGAAAUGCUGAGUCACAGCCUGAAACAGUGAUAGAGCACCUGGUGGGAAGGCAGGGCCAACCCAGGGGAGCUCAGGUGCAAGCAGUGCAGCUGAGUGACUGCACCUGGUGGAGCCAAGGUCAGCCCCUACCCAGACCUCAUUUAAGGGUUGGCUGUGGAGGUGAGGGUAUCUCACUGGAGAUCCCUGCCUACUAGAGGUCUUCCAAAGGUAAGCAGCUUUUCUUCUUUUGUUUCUGCAUUGUGUGCUGCAUUUGGGUUUGUCUUCAUUUGCUGUAGCCUAAGAUUUGUGCCACUCUGCUGCUAUUGCAGUACUUUCCAUCACAUUAUAGUAUUAUAACUUCCAUUAGUUUGAUUAGACAUUCCUCACGGCCAAAGAACAGAAAGGGUUGUUUUUUUUGAAGUUCUGAAUCCCUUUUCCUGUUUUACUUUGCUGUUUUUUUUUAUUCCUUGGGCUACAUAUGUGAUGUGUACUUCUUUUUCAUCCUCUUCUGUCUUUAUAGUCUUUU
rnacentral:lncRNA from 1 species